rnacentral:ribozyme from 1 species
GGAUAUGUUGAGUGGCAUUUGGAUAAUAGACCUGUUGCUGAGGGACUACACAAAAAAUGCACAGAAAUUCUGACACAACUCAGAAAAGACCCCUUUUCAGCUCCACAUAGAACGUUUUUGGAUGAAUUGGAAGUAAUAAUAGAAAAAGAUUUCAAAAAUUUAGGAAAAAAACCAGAAAAAAAGAGAAAAGAUGAGUGAGAGAAGAAAAAGAAAA